rnacentral:rRNA from 1 species
UGUAGUCAUAUGCUUGUCUCAAAGAUUAAGCCAUGCAUGUCUAAGUAUAAAUAACUUUAUAUUGUGAAACUGCGAAUGGCUCAUUAAAUCAGUUAUGAUCUACGUGACAAAUUCUUUACUACUUGGAUAACCGUGGUAAUUCUAGAGCUAAUACAUGCAAAAAAGCCCUGACUUACGAAGGGGUGCACUUAUUAGAUAAAACCAACGCGGGGUAAAACCUGUUUCUUGGUGAAUCAUAAUAAUUAAGCGGAUCGCAUGGCCUUGUGCCGGCGACGGUCCCACUCGAUUUUCUGCCCUA